rnacentral:lncRNA from 1 species
AACUCUAUAUUCUAAUUACUCAAGAAACAUAAACAGAAUACAAUACGAGCAUUACAAAAUUGCAAGGUAAAAGUAGGUGGAUAUAGAAACGUAGUCCAUUUAUUAAGUGGAUUGCAUAAUGAUGAUAAGAAGAAAAUGAAUGUUGAAGCAAAGGUGAAGUUAGAGAAGAAAAUCAAUCUUGUCUCUGGAGUUUGCACAUGACUAUUAUUGAAUUGAAGAAAGUGAGAAGCGAAGUGUUGAUUCAGAGUAGGACUUUAGUGGGCUUGUAAUCAACAACAAGGACUUUCUCAAACUGGGGCAGUAACCUGUUUGCGAAGUCGACAUGAUCUGGAUGGGAAAUAUAUUCAGCAAUCCCUUGUGUGCUUUCAAAGCUUGAUUCGAAGACAUGAGUGAAACCUUGAUGCAUGUUUUCAAUGCUCACAUCUUUACCCCUGCCACAGUCACACACAAAUAACCAACACUUUCUCACAAAAAUUAAAUUGCAAUAGAAUACGAAAUGCCUGCAAAUUGAACAAUAAAAAAUUCAUCUUUCAUCAGGAAUUGUAGCGUAUUUGGCAUUUCCCAGCGAGAGAUCUACUGCUAUUUUCUCAUCAAUCAAAUAUUUUGAUUGGUUCACAUCUAGCGACUACAACCCAACACCUAAGAUGAACAAGUAAUUCCUAAAUAUGCAGAUAAGAUCCACAACGAUCGCGGCGUAUUUAAUUGAACAAUUGAUUAAUGAAACGGCAAAAGCAGAAAACCUCUAGAAAUGAAGAAAGGGGGGAGAGAGAGAAAAUACCAUCUGAAGGCCUUCAUGGAAGGAACAAGAUUGACAAGAUUGGCGUACUCUUUGAUGUAUUCAUCAAUCUGUUGUUCGGACAAGCCAUCCUUAAACUUUGCAAGCAGUAUGUGCUUCACUUCUUCCUUGCUUUCCUCCAUUACAAUGUAAGAGAGAGAGAGAGAGAGNNNACAUAACUGAAGUUGAAAAAUACUCCACCUAGCUAAUGUUUUGUAAUAAAUGACAUUAGUAUCAUGAAAGGAAAGGCAAGAAAUACAGAGCACACAAAUAAGUAGAUAAUAGGUAUGUUAUAUUUCCAUAUAAUUAUUCUUUCUAGCUAAAACACAUCUAUCUUAUUUUCAUUGUAUAUAUCCCACCAUUUCCUCACUCCAUCUCCUGUGUUUCUCGAAAAUUAAGCGCAGCCAUAGGUAGUCAAUUAAUGUUGCCGAACACUGAUUGGAUGCAGUCAAGUAAAUCAAAUUGAAGAUGAUCUAAGUGAUAGUUUUGAAGUUGAAGGAGGAAUGGUAUCUCACCUCAAAAGGCUAGAUUUGUGACAUUUGGAACAGGUAAAUCAAUAUCCAAAUUGACACCCAUAUUACAGAUGAGAUUGCACAUCAACUCUAAUUCUAAUUGUUCAAGAAACAUAAACAGAAAGCAUUACAAAAGGUAAACAGGAGUCUUUGAAGUUUACACAUUACUAUUAUUGAAUUCAACAAAGUGAGAAGUGAAGUUUGAUAGACUAGGACUUAAGUGGGCUUGUAAUCAACAGAGAUGAGUUUCUCCAAUUGUGGCAAUACUCUGUUUGCAUAGUCGACAUGAUUUGGAUGGGAAAUAUAUUCAGCAAUCCCUUGUGUGCUUUCAAAGCUUAAUUCGAAGACAUGAGUGAAACCUUGUUGCUUGUUUCCAAUGCCCACAUCUUUACCCCUG